GGACAAUCGUCUGGACUAAAUUAGAUGGCUGGCCUUGGUGGCCCGGAAUCGUUAUUACUCACAAUGCUGACUGUGGGCUGCCACCUCCGAGAAAACCGACUAUUUAGUUACUGGAUAUUUUGGUUCGGCGGCCAUCAAACUGUGUCCGAGCCCCGAGGUUCAUUAAUUACCAUCUCGACUGUUGUUGCUCUUUGACGACGCCAAGAGUUUGAUAGCCCAUGUCUUCAAUUUUUCAGCCGUGCCUUUAACUAAUUUCUUCUGAUCUCUGUUAAAGGCGACUGCCUGUAGAUUAAAAAAAAAAUUAAAAACGUUUGAUGGCAAUAAAAAUUUGUAUAGUCGUAUUUAACCCGCAGCGCUUCCAAGACUCCUUUUUUUGAGAGGCUGUUGCGAGCUUGAUUUAACCGGAUUUAACAGGCUGGCCAACCGGUCAUCUAGAAAACCGCUUAGUUUUUCCGACGGCAAAUGUUUUAACUCCCAAGAAUGUUAAUACAAAUUUUUAACUAAAGUAAUCGGAAACCGUUUUGUAAUUAAUUAAUUAUUAAUUUCUCUAGAUGGAACCGAUAACAUUCGACAUGAAGGAUGCCCAAGGCUCCACCAAACAUCGUCUGGUGAACAGAAUUUCAAUCCGCAAUUGGACGAUCAAUUCAUCAACAACGACCAUUCGGUUCGUCCAUUUCCAGUCUUCCGCCCAGCCGAGAGCCUUUUUUCAUCAAAUACUCUUGGAUUCUUGAAGAUAUCGUGGCCAUAAACCAACCCCUGUCAGCCAACUGGCAGGAUAAACACGACCGGAUGCUGUUUCAGCGCGAUAUACUCGAAGCAAGACGAAAACAAUUAAAGCUCCAGCCUUUUUGGAGCAUUACUCGGUCGUCCAGCUGACUCAUAAAACGGCCAAGAAGAAGAGGAAAUUGAGCAGUGAUCUCCGCCCGUGUUGGAAACUUUGCGAAGCCGUCGGCAGUGCUGACGAGGACAGCGACGGAAUUAGUGACGAAACGGGCGACUUUUCGCUACUCUGACGGAUCAAGCCAUCGGUCGCUGGGAUUCCCCUAGCCGUUUCCGGAGUACGUGUUUCAUGUGGAAGAAGCUAAAGUGCAAGAACGAUUGAAUCGUAGUUUGCCCGUGUCCCUGUGGAUUAACAUUUUUCAACUGCCGUCGAAGAUUUGAAGUUGGUCCGUGUCGUUGGUCCGAAAUAAGCCGCGGAUUUUUAUUUACC